rnacentral:rRNA from 1 species
GACGAACGCUGGCGGCGUGCCUAAUACAUGCAAGUUGAGCGCUGACGCAUUGUACUUUUACCAACAGGAUGAGCAGCGGACGGGUGAGUAACGCGUGGGUCAUCUUCUUUUUAGCGGGGGACAACAUUGGGAAACGAAUGCUACUACCACAUAAAAACUUUAAACACUAGAUUCAAGUUUGAAAGAUGCAAUUGCAUCACUCAUAGGUGAUUCCGCGUUGAAUUAGUUAGUUGGGGAGGUAAAGGCUCACCAAGGCGAUGAUACAUAGCCUGCCUGAGAGGGAGGUCGGCCACAUUGGGACUGAGACACGGCCCAAACUCCUACGGGAGGCAGCAGUAGGGGAUCUUCGGAAAAGGACGAAAGUCUGACCGAGCAACUCCGCGUGAGUGAAGAAAGUUUUCGGGUCGUUAAACUCUGUUUGUUGAGAAGAACGUUGGGGAGGGUGGAAAGCUCAUGAAGUGACGGUAACUACACAGAAAGGAACGGCUAACUACGUG